rnacentral:rRNA from 1 species
AACGAACGCUGGCGGCAGGCUUAACACAUGCAAGUCGAGCGCAUCCUUCGGGGUGAGCGGCAGACGGGUGAGUAACGAGUGGGAACGUACCCUUUGCUACGGAAUAGCUCCGGGACACUGGAAUUAAUACCGUAUGUGCCCUUCGGGGGAAAGAUUUAUCGACAAAGGAUCGGCCCGCGUUGGAUUAGCUAGUUGGCGGGGUAAAGGCCUACCAAGCCGACGAUCCAUAGCUGGUCUGAGAGGAUGAUCAGCCACAUUGGGACUGAGACACGGCCCAGACUCCUGCGGGAGGCAGCAGUGGGGAAUAUUGGACAAUGGGCGCAAGCCUGAUCCAGCCAUGCCGCGUGAGUGAUGAAGGCCUUAGGGUUGUAAAGCUCUUUCAACGGUGAAGAUAAUGACGGUAACCGUAGAAGAAGCCCCGGCUAACUUCGUGCCAGCCGCCGCCGUAA